UCCGGUUGAUCCUGCCGGACCUGACUGCUAUCGGGAUAAGACUAAGCCAUGGAAGUCGACGCGCGCCCUUGCGCGCGUGGCGUACGGCUCAGUAACGCGUGGUUAACCUGCCCUCGCGAUGGGUAUAACCUCGGGAAACUGAGGAUAAUCCCCAAUAGGCGAUUGGAUCUGGAAGGACCUUUCGCCCAAAGGGAUGGGGCAAAUGGGCCUCAUCCGCGCGAGGAUGGGACUGCGUCCCAUCAGGCAGUUGGUGGGGUAAUGGCCCACCAAACCUAUAACGGGUACGGGCCGUGAGAGCGGGAGCCCGGAGAUGGGCACUGAGACAAGGGCCCAGGCUCUACGGAGCGCACCAAGCGCGAAACCUUCGCAAUGCGCGAAAGCGUGACGGGGCUAUCCCGAGUGCUAGCCGCUGAGGCUAGCUUUUGCUCAGUGUAAGAAGCUGAGCGAAUAAGUGGGGGGCAAGACUGGUGUCAGCCGCCGCGGUAAUACCAGCUCCACGAGUGGUCAGGACGGUUAUUGGGCCUAAAGCGUCCGUAGCCGGCUCAGCAAGUUUAUGGUGAAAUCCGUCGUCCCAAGCGUCGGAGUGCUGUAAAUACUGCUGGGCUAGGGAGUGGGAGAGGCCGAGGGUACCUCCGGGGUAGGGGCGAAAUCCUAUAAUCCCGGAGUGACGACCAGUGGCGAAAGCGCUCGGCUAGAACACGUCCGACGGUGAGGGACGAAAGCUGGGGCAGCAAACCGGAUUAGAUACCCGGGUAGUCCCAGCCGUAAACCAUGCGGGCUAGUUGUCGGAGCGGCUUAGUGCCGCUCCGGUAACGCAGGGAAGCCAUUAAGCCCGCCGCCUGGGGAGUACGACCGCAAGGUUGAAACUUAAAGGAAUUGGCGGGGGAGCACCACAAGGGGUUUGCUUGCGGCUCAAUUGGAGUCAACGCCGGA
rnacentral:rRNA from 1 species